rnacentral:rRNA from 1 species
GACGAACGCUGGCGGCGUGCUUAACACAUGCAAGUCGAACGGUAAGGCCCUUCGGGGUACACGAGUGGCGAACGGGUGAGUAACACGUGGGUGAUCUGCCCUGCACUUCGGGAUAAGCCUGGGAAACUGGGUCUAAUACCGGAUAGGACCACUGCCUGCAUGGGUGGCGGUGGAAAGCUUUUGCGGUGUGGGAUGGGCCCGCGGCCUAUCAGCUUGUUGGUGGGGUGAUGGCCUACCAAGGCGACGACGGGUAGCCGGCCUGAGAGGGUGACCGGCCACACUGGGACUGAGAUACGGCCCAGACUCCUACGGGAGGCAGCAGUGGGGAAUAUUGCACAAUGGGCGCAAGCCUGAUGCAGCGACGCCGUGUGAGGGAUGACGGCCUUCGGGUUGUAAACCUCUUUCAGCACCGACGAAGCGCAAGUGACGGUAGGUACAGAAGAAGGACCGGCCAACUACGUGCCAGCCGCCGCGGUAA